AAUCAACGCUGGCGGCGUGCCUCAGACAUGCAAGUCGAACGAUUAAGACUUCCUUCGGGAAGUGUAUAAAGUGGCGCACGGGUGAGUAACACGUAGGUAAUGUACCUUUGGGUGGGGAAUAACUUAGGGAAACUUAAGCUAAUACCGCAUAAUGCAGCGGCUCGACAUCGAGACAGUUGUUAAAGAUUUAUCGCCUAAAG
rnacentral:rRNA from 1 species